rnacentral:rRNA from 1 species
UACGUAGGGUGCGAGCGUUGUCCGGAAUUAUUGGGCGUAAAGAGCUCGUAGGCGGUGUGUCACGUCGGCCGUGAAAACCUGCAGCUUAACUGUGGGCGUGCGGUCGAUACGGGCAUCACUGGAGUUCGGCAGGGGAGACUGGAAUUCCUGGUGUAGCGGUGAAAUGCGCAGAUAUCGGGAGGAACACCGGUGGCGAAGGCGGUUCUCUGGGCCUUACCUGACGCUGAGGAGCGAAAGCGUGGGGAGCAAACAGG